CAAGUAUGAAUUCUGCUAUUUUCCGUUUCUUCUUUUUCUUUAGCUCCUGAAUCAGGAGGCUUGCGCGUAAGAGAAGAAACGAAAACUAGCGCCUAAAGCCUCCUAAAGGAGGCUUUUUUAUU
rfam:Pragia fontium strain 24613, complete genome.